GUUUCUUAAAGUUGCUGUUUAGUGACUAUAAUUAAUGCUGACAUGUAACAAUGGUCUAUUUCAUGCUUUCUCCUUUUUUAAAGAAAACAAGCCACAUGUUAAACAUUCCCCUCCCCAAACUAUGCAUCUUAUGUCUCUAUCUGCAACAAUUGCGCUGAUUUCUACUGUGCCCUAACUUAGGCGGCAAGGAACUUUAAGCAGCAAACUAUAACCAUUGCAGUGUAGCUUAUUGGAGUGGUUAUAGUAUACAUUCUGCAUUCAUUCCUGGUUUGCUUUUUGGCUCAAUGUCUGUCUUUGCAGAAAUAAUGCAUAUUCUGAAUUUAGCCCUAACUGGGGGGGGAUGCAUAGUCCUCACAGCUUGUUUUUGCAUACAGUUUACUGUCCCAACCUUCAAACCG